GAUGAACGCUAGCGGCAGGCUUAACACAUGCAAGUCGAGGGGUAUAGUAGCAAUACUAGAGACCGGCGCACGGGUGCGUAACGCGUAUGCAACCUACCUUUUACAGAGGGAUAGCCCAGAGAAAUUUGGAUUAAUACCUCAUAGUGUUAUUAGAUGGCAUCAUUUGAUAACUAAAGUUCCAACGGUAAAGAUGGGCAUGCGUCCUAUUAGCUAGAUGGUAAGGUAACGGCUUACCAUGGCUACGAUAGGUAGGGGUCCUGAGAGGGAGAUCCCCACACUGGUACUGAGACACGGACCAGACUCCUACGGGAGGCAGCAGUGAGGAAUAUUGGACAAUGGGCGCAAGCCUGAUCCAGCCAUGCCGC
rnacentral:rRNA from 1 species